rnacentral:rRNA from 1 species
GGACUACUAGGGUUUCUAAUCCUGUUUGCUCCCCACGCUUUCGUGCCUGAACGUCGGUGCUGGACCAGGAAGCCGCCUUCGCCACUGAUGUUCCUUCCGAUAUCUACGCAUUUCACCGCUACACCGGAAAUUCCGCUUCCCUCUUCCGCACCCAAGCUAAGCAGUAUCGAAUGCAAUUCCCAGGUUGAGCCCGGGGAUUUCACAUCCGACUUACAUAACCGUCUACGCACGCUUUACGCCCAGUAAUUCCGAUUAACGCUCGCACCCUCUGUAUUACCGCGGCGGCUGGCAC